CGGACGGGUGAGUAACGCGUGAGUAACCUGCCUCUCAGAGGGGGAUAACGUCUUGAAAAGGACGCUAAUACCGCAUGAUAUUUUCUUUCCGCAUGGAGAGGGAAUCAAAGGAGCAAUCCGCUGAGAGAUGGACUCGCGUCCGAUUAGCCAGUUGGCGGGGUAACGGCCCACCAAAGCGACGAUCGGUAGCCGGACUGAGAGGUUGAACGGCCACAUUGGGACUGAGACACGGCCCAG
rnacentral:rRNA from 1 species